GAACCUACGGGAGGCAGCAGUGAGGAAUAUUGGUCAAUGGUCGGGAGACUGAACCAGCCAAGCCGCGUGAGGGAGGAAGGUACAGAGUAUCGUAAACCUCUUUUGUCAGGGAACAAAGGCGGGGACGUGUCCCCGGAUGAGUGUACCUGAAGAAAAAGCAUCGGCUAACUCCGUGCCAGCAGCCGCGGUAAUACGGAGGAUGCGAGCGUUAUCCGGCUUUUUUGGGUUUAAAGGGUGCGGCGGCGGGCUGUUAAGUCAGGGGUCAA
rnacentral:rRNA from 1 species